GAUGGUAUUGGAUCCCCAGAAACUGGAGUUUAAAAUGGUUGUGAGCUGCCAUGUUGGUGUUGAGACUCAAGCCCAGGUCUUCUGGAGGAGCAGCCAGGUGACUGAUGAGUCAUCUCUAGCCCCCGAUGACAAGAAUUUGGUCCCCAGAGUCCACAGAGAGCUGUCCUCUCAUCUCCAUCCAAAUGCCAUGUUGUAUGAGUGUUUUGUCUGCAUGUAAGUCUGUACCAUUUGCCUGUUUGAUGCUCAAGGAGGCCAGAGAAGGCAUCAGAUUCCCUGGAACUGGCAUUACACAUGGUCCAUAUGGGUGCUGGGAACCAAACCCAAGUCCUCUGCAAAAGCAGUAAGUGCUCUUAAACUGUUAAGCCAUCUUCCAGCUCCUAUCAGCCCUUUUUAAAACCAGUUUUCUCAUACAUGUAUAUAAAUAGGAUACUUACUAUUAAACUAUUAGAAUCUUGUAUA